UACGUAGGUGGCAAGCGUUGUCCGGAUUUACUGGGCGUAAAGCGCACGUAGGCGGCUUUGUAAGUUAGAGGUGAAAGCCUGGAGCUCAACUCCAGAAUUGCCUUUAAGACUGCAUCGCUUGAAUCCAGGAGAGGUGAGUGGAAUUCCGAGUGUAGAGGUGAAAUUCGUAGAUAUUCGGAAGAACACCAGUGGCGAAGGCGGCUCACUGGACUGGUAUUGACGCUGAGGUGCGAAAGCGUGGGGAGCAAACAGG
rnacentral:rRNA from 1 species